GGGUGGGUUAGCUCAGUGGUUAGAGCGUAGGUCUCGUAACCAGAAAGUCCCGGGAUCGAAUCCCGCUAGAGGCA
rnacentral:tRNA from 1 species